UGGUGACGUGGGUCACGACGUCGCCGGCGAACACCUUGGUCAGGCCGAAGUCGGCGAUCUUGGCGUCGAGGUCGCCGGAGAGGAGGAUGUUGCGAGUCUUGACGUCCCUGUGGAUCAAUGGAGGCUGGCAUGACUUGUGCAGGUGUGUGCAAUUACUGUGCAGUCUUGUAUAUACCUUGAGCAGAGUCGAGAGCGAUCUUCAGACGUUGAUGCCAGGUGAAUUGCCGGUUCUCGAAUACGUUCGACCUUUCGUGAGGGCUAAUAAGUCUUGCAUUGUUUGUGAUCCAGGAUAAAUUUUGCUGCCACAAACAGCAGAGUUGCUGCAACUAUUGGAACAGCUAUUGCAAUCACAAGGAUUCUCUUGCUUUGCUUACUCUCCGGAGCACAGAUAUUUUGGCAACAGGAACACAACUACAUAGAUCACAGGUCCAUCAGGGGAUGUUUGGCAAGGAUCAGAUGAAGAAUAACCACAGUUCAAUCCAACCCAGGCAAAUGCCUUUGGAGCACAUGGAUCCCCCAUCCAAUUCUUCUUCAGUUCAUAGUUAUCGCGAAUUUCCAUCAUCGCCUUCGCUGUUCAUACGAAAAAAAAAGGAGAUUCUGAACUUUUUACCUCACCAUCAUUCUAACAAACAACUCAAAUCCGAGAUUUUAAACUGAAUAAAAUAUUUGGGGGCCAAAAAACAUCAAGAUUCAGAGAUGUGCAACUAUGCUGUACACCCUACCAAAUACACAAUGUUAUGAUCUAUAUGCAAGUUGAUCAACAGCAUUCUCUCCAAACCUUUGAAAAAAGAUUUUGAGCAUUCAAACGAAUUUGUUCAGGCGUUGGCUGCACCGAGAGUAUUUCUUGUAAAUCUAAUUUGUAUUCACACCCGGCUACAUAACACUUACACUCAGUUACAGUACACUAAAAUUAAAUUUAUUUGCUAUAUAUUUACAAUUUUUUACAUGCUUAGCUCAUUUUUUUUGUUAUUUCAUUUAAGACGGGCUAUAUCCAUUGAUUGAAAACUGUGCGAGAUUCGAAGCUUCGCAAGAUCAACAUAUAGGCAUCGGCUGCACCGAGUAGAUCUCGAGCCCGUUGACGAUGGGCGGCAGCGCGGAGUCCGGCGCGGCGACGAGCGACACGACGUGCCGCUGCCCCGGCCGCGCCGCCCGCACCGUCGACCUCACG